CUCUGUAAAGUUACUGACUGAGAGGAAUUUACAUCUGUUUUACACCUCGACCUCUCUAUCUAGCUCCCUUAAAUCCCCAUCUUCUUCCCCUAAAAGAAACCCCCUUCAGUUCUGACUUUCAAGUUUUGAUCAUGGAAGAACUGAGUUUUUAUAUUGGGAUCAUAGGCAACAUCAUCUCAGUACUAAUGUUUCUUUCCCCCGUUUGUGAAUGCAGCGGAACAUUUUGGAGAAUAAUAAAGCAGCGAUCGACAGAGCAGUUUGAGAGCCUUCCUUACAUCUGCACAUUGUUGAAUUCAUCUUUGUGGACUUACUAUGGAAUUAUAAAGGCAGGGGAAUUACUCGUGGCCACUGUUAAUGGUUUUGGCAUCCUUGUCGAAACUAUCUACGUCACUUUAUUUCUUAUAUAUGCGCCUGCAAGAUCUAAGAUGACAUUAACUACAUGUGCAAAACAAAAAAUCCAGGCUAAGACAGUCAUUCUUGUCGGGUUGUUGGAUGUGGGCUUCCUAGCAGCAGCGAUUCUAGUUACUCGAUUGGCAUUGCAGGGAGAGACACGUAUUGAUGCUGUAGGGUUCCUGGGUGCAGCGCUUAACAUUGUAAUGUACAGCUCACCUCUAGCCGUCAUGAGAACAGUGGUGACAACCAAGAGUGUGGAGUACAUGCCGUUCUUUCUCUCAUUUUUUCUCUUCUUGAACGGUGGGACUUGGGCUUUCUAUGCUCUUCUCGUGCGCGAUUACUUCCUUUUGGUACGUACCAAAUGGAUCUGGGUUUCUACUUGGAACAGUGCAGCUAGUGCUAUAUGCAAUUUACAGGAAGCCCAACCUGUCCAAAAAUGUUUCUGAUCAUAGACUGGAAGAAGGAUGGCAACAACAGGCCGAACCCCUCAUCUCCAGUACCUCAAGUCGAUUAAUUACAUGAAAAGGAACCACAGGGUACACCAUGAUUCCCUGACCAUAUUAAAGUAGAAUGCUAGAUCUUGGACAAACACAUUGGAAAUCUUACGAAAUAUCUCUCUCUCUCACCGCUAAGAUGUGGAGACAAGAUGCAGAGGUACGGUUUUUAGCUACGGAGAUAGCUUUUGUAAAAGCCAAAGCUUUGAUAUCAAUAUUCUAACUCAGA